AUUGAACGCUGGCGGCAGGCUUAACACAUGCAAGUCGAACGAGUGGCGGACGGGUGAGUAAUGUCUGGGAAACUGCCUGAUGGGGGGGGAUAACUACUGGAAACGGUAGCUAAUACCGCAUACCAUCCAAUUUGCCCAGAUGGGAUUAGCUAGUUGGUGGGGUAACGGCUCACAAAGGCGACGAUCCCUAGCUGGUCUGAGGGGAUGACGAGCCACACUGGAACUGAGACACGGGCCAGACUCCUACGGGAGGCAGCAGUGGGGAAUAUUGCACAAGGGGCGCAAUCCUGAGGCAGACAUGCCGCGUGUAUGAGGAAGGCCUUGGGGUUGUAAAGUACUUUCAGCGGGGAGGCGUUACCCGCAGAAGAAGCACCGGCUAACUACGUGCCAGCAGCCGCGGUAAUUC
rnacentral:rRNA from 1 species